rnacentral:rRNA from 1 species
AUUGAACGCUAGCGGCAGGCCUAACACAUGCAAGUCGAACGAGUGGCGGACGGGUGAGUAAUGUCUGGGAACCUGCCCGAUGGAGGGGGAUAACUACUGGAAACGGUAGCUAAUACCGCAUACUAUUGGAUCUGCCGAGAUGGGAUUAGCUAGUCGGUGGGGUAAAGGCUCACCAAGGCAUCGAGCCGUAGCUGGUCUGAGAGGACGACCGGCCACACUGGGACUGAGACACCGUCCAGACUCCUACGGGAGGCAGCAGUGGGGAAUUUUGCACAAUGGGCGCAAUCCUGAUGCAGCCAUGCCGCGUGUAUGAAGAAGGCCUUCGGGUUGUAAAGUACUUUCGGCGGGGAGGCGGUACCCGCAGAAGAAGCACCGGCUAACUCCGUGCCAGCAGCCGCGGUAAUUC